rnacentral:rRNA from 1 species
AAUGGUGAGGGAAUAACACAUGCAAGUCGAGCGGUAGCACAGAGAGCUUGCUCUCCGGGUGACGAGCGGCGGACGUGUGAGUAAUGUCUGGGAAACUGCCUGAUGGAGGGGGAUAACUACUGGAAACGGUAGCUAAUACCGCAUAACGUCGCAAGACCAAAGUGGGGGACCUUCGGGCCUCAUGCCAUCAGAUGUGCCCAGAUGGGAUUAGCUAGUAGGUGGGGUAACGGCUCACCUAGGCGACGAUCCCUAGCUGGUCUGAGAGGAUGACCAGCCACACUGGAACUGAGACACGGUCAGACUCCUACGGGAGGCAGCAGUGGGGAAUAUUGCACAAUGGGCGCAAGCCUGAUGCAGCCAUGCCGCGUGUGUGAAGAAGGCCUUCGGGUUGUAAAGCACUUUCAGCGGGGAGGAAAGGCGGUAGAGGUAAUAACCUUGGCGAUUGACGUUACCCCGCAGAAGAAGCACCGGCUAACUCCGUGCCAGCAGCCGCGGUAAUACGGAAGGGGUGCAAGCGUUAUUCGGAAUUUCCGGGGCGUAAAGCGCACGCAGGCGGUCUUGUCAGUUCGGAUGUGAAAUCCCGGGCCUACCUGGGGAACUUGCAUUCGAACUUGGCAGCUAAGUCUUGGAAAGGGGGGUAGAAUUCCGGGUGUACCGUGAAUGCUUAAGUUUGGAGGAAAACCGGGGGCGAAGGGCGCCCCUGGACAAAAACUGGAUCCCAGGUCAAAACCGUGGGGAACAAAGGGGAUAGAUACCCCUGGAAGUCCACCCGAAACAAUGUCAUUUUAGAGGUGUGCCUUGAGGCUGGCUCCCGGAGCAAACCGUUAACCACCUCCGGGGAUACCCGCCGCGGGUUUACAGCUCAUAUGAUUAUCGGGUGCCCCCCACCACCCGUGGAGCUAGUGGCUACUAUAAGAUGUCUCGCAACAGAGCACAAUCGUGUAUUGAACGAUCAAACGAUCAUCUCCACAUAAAUAGCGUAUGUCUGCUUG